GAGACCGCUUCGAUGGUCUAAGUGGUUAGAGCGUCAGCCUCGGAUGCUGAAGGUCACGAGUUCAAAUCCAGGCGGUCAUACCA